AGUUCCUCGUAUAGGUAACACAAGUACAAGCAUAUACAAAGUAACCUUUAACCGGUCGUAAAUUGAAAAGAAAAACAAUGAAUUGUAAGUUCACUGAUCAAUGUUGCAUUUAAAAUUCUCUUUACCUACCUACCUGUUUAAAUAUCGCGACGCUCAGUUCUGUGAACGUUGAAAUUUUUAUCAGUAAUCGUACGAUUAACUAACUUCAAAGACGUUACAGAGAAUUUUAUUAUCGAUGAUAAUUGUACUUUUGAUGUAAUUAACAUUCGGUUUAGACGAUUUUGACAGUUUUUAGAGUAAAUAUUUAGUUUGGGUUCAUUACUAUUCUUAAAAAUCGCGGAAAUUUCGUCUAUAGAAUCAUGUUUGCUUUGAAGGAUGUGAUCAAUACAGCUAUCCUACUACUUCUGGCCACCUUGGAAGUAGCCAAAGGAAAACUCCUACCGGAAGAAGAGGUGAUCAUUGAUCCUCGUUUUGAACCUAAUAUCCAUCCGGGAGAAGAUCGAUUUGGGACGAAUGCAAUAUUUUCAUAUUCUUUGUACAAAAUUUUCAUAUAAUGCAUUCGAAUUUUGCUCAGUACCUAUGUUAUGUGUAUUGUGUAUAGACCAACACCAGCGAAGUGCACGAAAGUUGAACAAACAAAUGAAACAAUGAAAAAGAAAAAAAACAUCACGAUAAUCAAUGCAAUUUCAACGUAUUAAAAUAUGAAAAGCUGCAGAAAUUCGAAUUCGCUCCUAAAAUGAAACGUCACUUCGGUAGAUUUAUAUCAUCAAAAUAUAUAUAAAAUUAGGCUGGGAUAAGCAUAACUUUUGUAAGAUGUAUCUAAAGAAACUUUUAACUUUUCAAGUGUAAAUAAAAAGUUAUAAGUGGGAAUUAUAAAAAGAAUCACUUGACAUAAAGUACCCAUAAAGAAUGUCGAUGGUCAUGAAAAUAAACCAAGUGCAUACAGAUAAAUAUAAGUAAUUCUUUUUCUAGAGUUGCAGUUGCCAAGUUGAAAGUGAUUCUAUGCAAGUAGGUUUAUAUCCGGAGUCAAAAUGUUCCAUUUGUUCGAGUGGCAGCUUACGAGAUUAAAUUUUAAACACACCGCCUUUUUUUACUUUCAUUUACAAAACGUAAUUGUAACUCUACGGAAUUUUUGUACAGUUUUUAUGGUAAGAGAAAUAAAUGUACAUUUAAAAUGACUGCACAGCAAAUAAAUUAAAGCAGUUUUUGAAAUUAUUGAAAUAAAAUUCAAAUUAUGAAAAUAAAAAUUGUGUAUUUUUAAUGUUAAAAAUAAUUAAAAUAUAUGACUUGUGACGGAA